rnacentral:rRNA from 1 species
GCACAAGCGGUGGAGCAUGUGGUUUAAUUCGACGCAACGCGAAGAACCUUACCAGGGCUUGACAUCCCCUGACCGCGUAUGAAAGUACGUUUUCACCCUCGGGUGACAGGGAGACAGGUGGUGCAUGGUUGUCGUCAGCUCGUGUCGUGAGAUGUUGGGUUAAGUCCCGCAACGAGCGCAACCCCUACGUUUAGUUGCUAACAGGUGAAGCUGAGCACUCUAGACGAACUGCCGUUGACAAAAACGGAGGAAGGUGGGAUGACGUCAAAUCAUCAUGCCCCUUAUGUUCUGGGCUACACACGUGCUACAAUGGCCGGUACAGACGGAGGCGAAGCCGCGAGGCGGAGCAAAUCCGAAAAAGCCGGUCUCAGUUCGGAUUGCAGGCUGCAAUUCGCCUGCAUGAAGUCGGAAUCGCUAGUAAUCGCAGGUCAGCAUACUGCGGUGAAUACGUUCCCGGGUCUU